GUCGAACGGUAACAGGGAGCUUGCUCCGCUGACGAGUGGCGAACGGGUGAGUAAUGUAUCGGAACGUACCAUUGAGUGGGGGAUAACGUAGCGAAAGUUACGCUAAUACCGCAUAUUCUCUCCGGAGGAAAGCAGGGGACCGCAAGGCCUUGCGCUCUUUGAGCGGCCGAUAUCAGAUUAGCUAGUUGGUGGGGUAAAAGCUCACCAAGGCGACGAUCUGUAGCGGGUCUGAGAGGAUGAUCCGCCACACUGGAACUGAGACACGGUCCAGACUCCUACGGGAGGCAGCAGUGGGGAAUUUUGGACAAUGGGGGCAACCCUGAUCCAGCCAUGCCGCGUGAGUGAAGAAGGCCUUCGGGUUGUAAAGCUCUUUCGGCCGGGAAGAAAUCGUAUCAGCUAAUACCUGGUGCGGAUGACGGUACCGGCAUAAGAAGCACCGGCUAACUACGUGCCAGCAGCCGCGGUAAUACGUAGGGUGCGAGCGUUAAUCGGAAUUACUGGGCGUAAAGCGUGCGCAGGCGGUUUUGUAAGACAGGCGUGAAAUCCCCGGGCUCAACCUGGGAACUGCGUUUGUGACUGCAAGGCUAGAGUACGGCAGAGGGGGGUGGAAUUCCACGUGUAGCAGUGAAAUGCGUAGAGAUGUGGAGGAACACCAAUGGCGAAGGCAGCCCCCUGGGUCGAUACUGACGCUCAUGCACGAAAGCGUGGGUAGCAAACAGGAUUAGAUACCCUGGUAGUCCACGCCCUAAACGAUGUCAACUAGGUGUUGGGAGGGUAAAACCUUUUAGUACCGGAGCUAACGCGUGAAGU
rnacentral:rRNA from 1 species